AAAUUAAAUGAAGCGCCAGACUUGUAUUGCAAGUUGACGAGGUCAGGGUUAAUCGAAAAUUCGGCGGGUGCCCUGCGCUGUGACUCGACAGUGUGACAGAUUUUACAAAUCCUCAAGCAAUUGAUGGGACAAAGAAAAUCUGAUUGAGUCAA
rnacentral:ncRNA from 2 species